rnacentral:tRNA from 1 species
GCCGAAGUGGCGGAAUGGCAGACGCGCUGCGUUCAGGGCGCAGUGCCCCUAAGGGCGUGAGGGUUCAAAUCCCUCCUUCGGCACCA